CCCGCUGAACUUAAGCAUAUCAAUAAGCGGAGGAAAAGAAACUAACAAGGAUUCCCCUAGUAACUGCGAGUGAAGCGGGAAAAGCUCAAAUUUAAAAUCUGGUGGCCUCUGGUCAUCCGAGUUGUAAUUUAGAGAAGCGUCUUCCGCGCUGGACCAUGCACAAGUCUCCUGGAAUGGAGCGUCAUAGAGGGUGAGAAUCCCGUCUUUGGCAUGGAUGCACCAGGGCUUCUGUGAUGCGCUCUCAAAGAGUCGAGUUGUUUGGGAAUGCAGCUCAAAAUGGGUGGUGAACUCCAUCUAAAGCUAAAUAUUGGCGAGAGACCGAUAGCGAACAAGUACCGUGAGGGAAAGAUGAAAAGCACUUUGGAAAGAGAGUGAAACAGUACGUGAAAUUGUUGAAAGGGAAACGCUUGAAGUCAGUCGCGUCGACCGAGACUCAGCCUCGCCUUGGCUUGGUGUACUUCUCGGCUGACGGGUCAGUGUCAAUUUUGGGCCUCGGAUAAUGACAAGGGAAAGGUGGCACCUUUAUAGGUGUGUUAUAGUCUCCUGUCGGAUGCGAGGGUCGGGAUUGAGGAACUCAUGCACGCGCCUUUUGGUGUCGGGGCUUCGGCCUACGCUACGUGCUUAGGAUGCUGGCAUAAUGGCUUUAAACGACCCGUCUUGAAACACGG
rnacentral:rRNA from 1 species